AUUGAACGCUGGCGGCAGGCCUAACACAUGCAAGUCGAACGGUAUCAGGAAGAAGCUUGCUUCUUUGCUGACGAGUGGCGGACGGGUGAGUAAUGUCUGGGAAACUGCCUGAUGGAGGGGGAUAACUACUGGAAACGGUAGCUAAUACCGCAUAACGUCGCAAGACCAAAGAGGGGGACCUUCGGGCCUCUUGCCAUCGGAUGUGCCCAGAUGGGAUUAGCUAGUAGGUGGGGUAACGGCUCACCUAGGCGACGAUCCCUAGCUGGUCUGAGAGGAUGACCAGCCACACUGGAACUGAGACACGGUCCAGACUCCUACGGGAGGCAGCAGUGGGGAAUAUUGCACAAUGGGCGCAAGCCUGAUGCAGCCAUGCCGCGUGUAUGAAGAAGGCCUUCGGGUUGUAAAGUACUUUCAGCGGGGAGGAAGGGAGUAAAGUUAAUACCUUUGCUCAUUGACGUUACCCGCAGAAGAAGCACCGGCUAACUCCGUG
rnacentral:rRNA from 1 species